UACGUAGGGCGCAAGCGUUAUCCGGAAUUAUUGGGCGUAAAGAGCUCGUAGGCGGUUUGUCGCGUCUGCCGUGAAAGUCCGGGGCUCAACUCCGGAUCUGCGGUGGGUACGGGCAGACUAGAGUGCGGUAGGGGAGAUUGGAAUUCCUGGUGUAGCGGUGAAAUGCGCAGAUAUCAGGAGGAACACCGGUGGCGAAGGCGCCACUCUGGGCCGGCACUGACGCUGAGGAGCGAAAGCGUGGGUAGCAAACAGG
rnacentral:rRNA from 1 species